rnacentral:rRNA from 1 species
CAAGUUAAGCUGGGGACUCUAAAGGAACUGCCUACGCAAGUAGUGAGGAAGGCGGGGAUGACGUCAAAUCAGCACGGCCCUUACGUCCAGGGCUACACACGUGCUACAAUGGCCGAUACAGAGGGCAGCUACCUGGUGACAGGAUGCAAAUCUCCAAAGUCGGUCUCAGUUCGGAUCGGAGUCUGCAACCCGACUCCGUGAAGUUGGAUUCGCUAGUAAUCGCGCAUCAGCCACGGCGCGGUGAAUACGUUCCCGGGCCUU